rnacentral:lncRNA from 1 species
GAAGGCUCUGCAUAGUAACAGCUGCCUCUGAGGCUAGGAGGCUCCAUACAUAGGUCCCCCCUCCUGCUGAGCAGUAACCUGUCUCCUUCAUGCCACCACCCACGGUCCUACAUCUACCCAAGAGGCUGAACACACUCCAAUACAGGCUGGUUGGUCCGGGAGGACCCUAGGGAAGAAGGUGGAGACUCUGAGACUUACACCAUUCAUAAACCAGCUCCCCCACCCUAG